GACGAACGCUGGCGGCGCGCUUAACACAUGCAAGUCGAGCGAGAACCAGUCCUUCGGGACUGGGGAAAGCGGCGAACGGGUGAGUAACACGUGGGUAAUCUGCCCUCGGCACUGGGAUAGCCCGGGGAAACCCGGAUUAAUACCGGAUAGCCUUUCGAGCCUUCGGGCUCGUCAGAAAGGGUGGCUUCGGCUUCCGGCUGAGGAUGAGCCCGCGGCGGAUUAGCUUGUUGGUGGGGUAAUGGCCUACCAAGGCGACGAUCCGUAGCUGGUCUGAGAGGACGAUCAGACACACUGGGACUGAGACACGGCCCAGACUCCUACGGGAGGCAGCAGUGGGGAAUCUUGCGCAAUGGGCGAAAGCCUGACACAGCGACGCCGCGUGCGGGAAGAAGGCCUUCGGGUUGUAAACCGCUUUCAGGAGGGACGAAGCCACUCGGGUUAAUAGCCCAGAGGGUGACGGUACCUCCAGAAGAAGCCCCGGCUAACUACGUGCCAGCCGCCGCAGUAA
rnacentral:rRNA from 1 species